rnacentral:rRNA from 1 species
GACGAACGCUGGCGGCGUGCCUAAUACAUGCAAGUCGAGCGGAAGUUGGAGAGCUUGCUCUUCAACUUUAGCGGCGGACGGGUGAGUAACACGUGGGCAACCUGCCCUGCAGAUCGGGAUAACUCCGGGAAACCGGUGCUAAUACCGAAUAGUUUUCGCCACCUCCUGGUGGCGUACGGAAAGACGGUUUUGGCUGUCACUGCAGGAUGGGCCCGCGGCGCAUUAGCUAGUUGGUGGGGUAACGGCCCACCAAGGCGACGAUGCGUAGCCGACCUGAGAGGGUGAUCGGCCACACUGGGACUGAGACACGGCCCAGACUCCUACGGGAGGCAGCAGUAGGGAAUCUUCCGCAAUGGACGAAAGUCUGACGGAGCAACGCCGCGUGAGUGACGAAGGUUUUCGGAUCGUAAAGCUCUGUUGUGAGGGAAGAACAAGUACCACUUAACUACUGGUACCUUGACGGUACCUCACCAGAAAGCCACGGCUAACUACGUGCCAGCAGCCGCAGUAAAAC